AUACGGAGGGCGCAAGCGUUGUUCGGAAUUACUGGGCGUAAAGAGCGUGUAGGCGGUUAGGAAAGUCGGGUGUGAAAUCCCCGGGCUCAACCCGGGAACUGCAUCCGAAACUUCUUGGCUAGAGUCUCGGAGAGGAGAGCGGAAUUCCCGGUGUAGGGGUGAAAUCCGUAGAUAUCGGGAGGAACACCUGAGGCGAAGGCGGCUCUCUGGACGAUGACUGACGCUGAGACGCGAAAGCGUGGGGAGCAAACAGGAUUAGAAACCCCAGUAGUCC
rnacentral:rRNA from 1 species